AGAACCACGAAAAGGAGAUGGUGCCCCUCCUGAACAGCUCCAGAAAAAGGGUGACUCCUGUGGCCACUGUCUUAGGAAGCGACGGAAUGCUCCCUUUCCUGCCCCUGAGAACUCCUUGGCAUGCCGUCUUUUCUCCACCACAACAAUUUGCCUUCAGAAUGUUUUCUCUGAGGCCAGUGGAGGAACAUGGCUGCAAUAUGUGGAUCCUAGGACGUUAUAAAGGAAUUUUGCCCCCCUGGGAAUUGGCUGAGUAGAUCACAAGAUUCAUGGCAAUGCAGGCGCAUGGAAUUCCUCAGUAAAGGAUGAUCAGAAUCAACACGGAAGGGCGCUGGCCUGCACUGAGCACUCUUCCUGUGUGCAGGGCUGGGGUGCCAAGGCCUGGCCCCCUCCCUGGGGCAGCUUUCCAAAGCCCGUGUGAUCCAAGGCAGCCCACAAGAAGUGGCUUUCACGUGGUCUCUGCGUCUGCCUUCACGGGUUCAAGUCUUGACUUGGCCAUUUUCUAGCCACGUGACUUUGGGCUGUGGCUCUUUACCUCUUGGUGCCUGGGUACUGGCAAAGUGAAGAAGGCAAUGGUGAGGAUGGAAUGUUCUUCAUAGGCUGUUGUGGGGAUCAAGAGCCUCAGGAAGCAGAGUGUGAUGUGCAGAUCCUGGCGUAUCGGGAAUACUGAGCUGGCAGGAUCGGACUCCGCCCUUUCAGUCCACCCCGGGGCUCAUACCUCCGCUGUCCCUCGGUCCCCCUGCAGCCCCUGCGGGUGCCCGGCGCAGGGCCGGUCCUCCUCUGGCUUAGGAGACUGAAGCACAGAGAAGUCAACUGGCUUGUCCAAGGUCAUAGGUUUGAGAGGGGACCGAUUGCAAAGGCCGGCUAGAGCAAGAACUAAAAGCUAUCGUCUGUUUGAACUGUGGUUGUUUUUGAACAGUAGCUGUGGCGCCUGGCUGAUAGCAAAGAUUCAAUCUGUUUUUGCAUCCUGCUCUUUGGUCAUGUCCUUCUAGGCUCUGAGGUUCAAAGAUGAAAGACACCCAUGGCCUGGAGUGGAAGAUGUGGAGUUGGGGCAAACAUGUCUUAGGUCCCCCAGCCUGGCCUCCACAUGACCUUCACUGCCCUGUCAUAAUCACGAUGCCUGUCAUCACUGACCCCGUGUGGAGCGUUGUGUACCAGGCACUGUCUUGUGUACAUGACGUCCAGUAAUCAGUGGCACAAUGGUGAGUGUUUAACAGCAGCAUCUGGGGAAAUCCCUGAUCUGUAGCAUUUUCCAAUGUCCGUGAUAUGGAUAUUCCCACCUCCACCACCGCUGAUUCAAGCUAUCAACAUGGUGUCAUUGGCUGUGACUUGGGAAAAGACUUGCAGAACUGGUUCUCAUAAGUGGCUCCAGAACACUAAUAAUUGACAACUCACACAGCCCAGUGUUACAGAACUAAGGCCCAGAGCAGGGCCACAUCCACCUCCAACUAGAUGAUGGCCUCUUCAAAGGCAAGGAGCCCAGCACGAAGCAUGAGUACAGGCACACACUAAGUGACCAGUGAAUAUCUGAAGAGCUGAACUGAAUGCUUUGAUUUCAGUUGAAUCAACCACCUUUUCCAAGGAACAAGGGGACCGCUAGCAGGGACCACAGCUGCAACCCAUGACCCUCAGCUUUCGGGGAUAAUGCUGUAAGUAUGCAUUUCAGGGUGAAUUCUGAGGAUUGCCACAUCCAAGAAAGGAGGUGGACUGUCCUGUUCACUCUUGGGAGGGGUGCAGAGGGGCUAUGGAUUCACACGUUGCAUUGUCAAUGCCCCUUUCUUUUGCUAUCACCAUCGAGAGAGGUGUGACCCAACACCUUAUAUGUGUUGGGGAUUGGAUAAGACCAAGAGCACCAAAGGUGACAUCUGUGGAGCACCUCACAGUUUUCAAAGUUUUUUCCCUUGCAUGAUAUCAGUGUUUCCCAAGGUCUGGGAGCAUUCCACUGGGGGCAACCAGUAUGACUUCAGGGGUCAUGACCCUUGUAAGAUGUUGAUACUUAGACAUUUACUUUGAUAUGUUGGAUUCAGUGAGACCAAGAAAUGACAAUGGCACGUUUCUUGAGGUAAAAGCGUUUAUACCCAGGUUUAUUCCCACAGUGUAGGUUGAGCACUAGAAUCAUGUCUGCAUCCAGCAGUCAGCAGGGCCAUAACCCACCUCCACUUCUGUCUCUGUCCAGACCACUGGGAAGAGCUCUUUAUAUAGUGGCUCAGUCACUAAUAGCUCAUUGCCUAUGGGUGUGGGAGCAGUAGCCUAGCAGAAGGCCAGUUACAUCAUCAAGUAGUUUAGGGUCAGGUGAGGAUCCUGGCCAUGGGAACUUCCAUUUUCCCCACAUAUAUAUUCAAAAGUAUUUCUAGCACAUUAUGCCAGUUAGGAAUAGGUUUAACUGCAUUUAAAGACAACAAUAAAGCAGUGGCUUCAAU